GGGCAGGCCUACACAUGCAAGUCGAGCGGUAACAGAUCCAGCUUGCUGGAUGCUGACGAGCGGCGGACGGGUGAGUAACGCAUAGGAAUUUACCCGAUAGUGGGGGAUAACCUGGGGAAACUCAGGCUAAUACCGCAUACGUCCUACGGGAGAAAGGGGGCUCCGGCUCCCGCUAUCGGAUGAGCCUAUGCCGGAUUAGCUGGUUGGUGAGGUAAUGGCUCACCAAGGCGACGAUCCGUAGCUGGUCUGAGAGGAUGAUCAGCCACAUCGGGACUGAGACACGGCCCGAACUCCUACGGGAGGCAGCAGUGGGGAAUAUUGGACAAUGGGGGCAACCCUGAUCCAGCCAUGCCGCGUGUGUGAAGAAGGCCCUCGGGUUGUAAAGCACUUUCAGCGAGGAAGAACGCCUGGCGGUUAAUACCCGCCAGGAAAGACAUCACUCGCAGAAGAAGCACCGGCUAACUCCGUGCCAGCAGCCGCGGUAAUACGGAGGGUGCAAGCGUUAAUCGGAAUUACUGGGCGUAAAGCGCGCGUAGGUGGCUUGAUAAGCCGGUUGUGAAAGCCCCGGGCUCAACCUGGGAACGGCAUCCGGAACUGUC
rnacentral:rRNA from 1 species